AUGGACAAGGUGAAGAGCAAUGGCAGCAAGCUCAAGGGAUCAGGAGGAGGAGGGCUGAGCAGGAUGCUGAGGCAACACAAGGCCAGGCUCUACAUCAUCCGCCGAUGCGUCGUCAUGCUCCUCUCCUCUUGA
rnacentral:rRNA from 1 species